AAGUCGUAACAAGGUUUCCGUAGGUGAACCUGCGGAAGGAUCAUUAACACGUUCCACGUAUCCACCCGAGCACAUUGUUCAAACAAGAGAUUAAGCUCCAGUAGAUUCACCUGUAAGCUGUCGUGAUUCAGUCCGCAAACCUCGAUAAGGAAACAGGCUGCGUAAGCCUGGCGGCUGCCGAUGGUAUGUCUUCUCUCUUUGUUGAGAGAGGCAGGCUCUGGAUGUCUGGUCAUGUUUCUAUUCCUUAUCGACUUUUAUCACAACUAUUUACCCCAUUCCGAAACGUACUAAUUUACAUUUCUUUUCUUAAAGAAAUUGAGUUGCACAAUUCGUUGUGCCCAACUCAACGACCUAAGAAAAACCAAAAGAACAACUCUUAACAACGGAUAUCUUGGCUCUC
rnacentral:misc_RNA from 1 species